rnacentral:rRNA from 1 species
GACGAACGCUGGCGGCGUGCUUAACACAUGCAAGUCGAGCGGUAAGGCCCUUUCGGGGGUACGACGAGCGGCGAACGGGUGAGUAACACGUGGGUGACCUGCCCUUAGCUCUGGGAUAAGCCUGGGAAACUGGGUCUAAUACCGGAUAUGACUCCAUGACGCAUGUUGUGGGGUGGGAAAGCCUUGUGCGGCUAGGGAUGGGCCCGCGGCCUAUCAGCUUGUUGGUGGGGUGAUGGCCUACCAAGGCGACGACGGGUAGCCGGCCUGAGAGGGCGACCGGCCACACUGGGACUGAGACACGGCCCAGACUCCUACGGGAGGCAGCAGUGGGGAAUCUUGCGCAAUGGGCGAAAGCCUGACGCAGCGACGCCGCGUGAGGGAUGACGGCC